rnacentral:rRNA from 1 species
UACGGAGGGAGCUAGCGUUGUUCGGAAUUACUGGGCGUAAAGCGCACGUAGGCGGCUUUGUAAGUUAGAGGUGAAAGCCCGGGGCUCAACCCCGGAAUUGCCUUUAAGACUGCAUCGCUUGAAUCCCGGGAGAGGUGAGUGGAAUUCCGAGUGUAGAGGUGAAAUUCGUAGAUAUUAGGAAGAACACCAGUGGCGAAGGCGGCUCACUGGAUCGGUACUGACGCUGAGGUGCGAAAGCGUGGGGAGCAAACAGG